rnacentral:rRNA from 1 species
CAAGUGUUAACGGUGGAUCCCUCGGCAAAAACAUCGAUGAAGACCGCGGCAAGAUGCGAUAUGUCAUGUGAUACGCAAAACCUUGUGAAUCAUCGAAAUGUUGAAUGCAAAUGGCACACAGGGAAAACGACUGUGAAUGUCUGGUUGAGGGCUG